rnacentral:rRNA from 1 species
GACGGGGGGAGCGAGCGUUGUUCGGAAUUACUGGGCGUAAAGGGCGUCUAGGCGGAUCUGUAAGUCAGGUGUGAAAUCCCCCGGCUCAACCGGGGAACUGCACUUGAAACUGCAAGUCUUGAGUUCGGAAGGGGAAAGCGGAAUUCCUGGUGUAGCGGUGAAAUGCGUAGAUAUCAGGAAGAACACCGGUGGCGAAGGCGGCUUUCUGGUCCGAUACUGACGCUGAAGCGCGAAAGUGUGGGGAGCAAACAGGAUUAGAUACCCUGGUAGUCCACACCGUAAACGAUGGAUACUAGGUGUCGGGGGUAUCGACCCCCCCGGUGCCGAAGCUAACGCAUUAAGUAUCCCGCCUGGGGAGUACGGUCGCAAGGCUG